UUAAUCAUGGCGUCGUGCUGCUGCUGCUGUCGGGUGUUGUAUUGUUGAUGGCUGGGUUGACCAUGUACUGAUGUUUCCUGGGUAUGGUGAAUACCGAGUAACAGCAGCGAAAGAACAGACCACCACGUCGUCGCCAUGCGCCACACUAACGUCAACAUACGCAUCACUACCUACUACACUGAGGCUCCUAAGUACUACACCACCAAGGCUCCAAGGUACAACACGAAAACUUACGCUGCCCCCUAGCUACUACACCGAAGUAUUACUCUACCCCGAGUUACAUCACGUAAGCGCCUGGGUACUACACUGAGUCUUCCAAGUUCUACACCACCAAAGCACUAAGCUACUAUACCGAGGCUCCAACUUAUUACACCACCAAAGCAGUUGAAUACUACACCGAAGCGUCCAAGUACUACACUGCAACCUACUGCAGCGCACUAUUUGUCACCAACUGCCUUCUUCAUCGUUUUAAAUCGGUUCCUAAUCAUGGGCUGGGUCGACCACUGGUGUAGCAAUGUCUCCUGGAUAUGGCGGAUACCAAACCACAACGCCACCGCCUUACUACACAACAACAACAUACGCAACAACUGGUUACUACUCCACUAAUGCUUCAGAAUAUUACACCGAAACUUAUGGUGCCCCGAGAUACUACACCGAGCUUCCAAGUAUUCUCUCCACCGAGCUACAUCACCCAAAGAGCCGGAAUACUACAAAACUACGUAUGCUGCCCCUGCCUACUACACCAAGGUCCCUAAUUACAACAACACCAAACCACCCAAAUACUUCACUACAACUUACGCUCCCCCGAGCUACUACACCGGCUCCCCGAAGUAUUACUCUGCGUAAAAGGAGUAGUUUAAAAAAAGUCGUAAAAGGAGAGAAAGUGCGAUAGGAAUCAUUCGAAUGAGGAUCUCCGACACGGUAACAACUGCGGCGGACUAAUUGUCACCAACUGGAUUGUUCAUCGUUUAACCAAUUCGCAGUUAUGGUCAACUAUAGCGUCAAACUAUUACUCUGCCCUAAGUUGUAUCACCAAAGCGCCCAAGUACUACACUGAUGCUCCCAAAUACUACACCACCAAAGCAACAAAGUACUGCACCGAGGUUUCAACUUAUAACACCACUAAAGCUGUCGAAUACUUCACCGAAGCGUCCAUGUGCUACCUGCAUGCAACGUACGCUGCCCCAGCUUACUACUACUACCACCACUUGUCACCAACUGUCUUCUUCGUCGUAUUGGAUCGGACUUUUAUCAUUGGAAUUGCACCGAGGCUUCAACUUAUUACAUCAUGGUCGAAUACUGCAAUUAUGUGCACACACAUUUUCAACACUUAAGUGCCACACUGCAACAUACGCUGCCCCAGCUUACUACUACUACUGUCACCAACUGUAUUCUUCUUCGUACGAAAUCAGUACGUAAACAUGAGUAAAUAUGAAUAGAUUUAUUAUUUCAAAUCGUGA